rnacentral:rRNA from 1 species
CAGCAGCCGCGGGAAAACGGAGGGUGCAAGCGUUAAUCGGAAUUACUGGGCGUAAAGCGCACGCAGGCGGUCUGACAAGUCAGAUGUGAAAUCCCCGGGCUUAACCUGGGAACUGCAUUUGAAACUGUCAGGCUGGAGUCUUGUAGAGGGGGGUGGAAUUCCAGGUGUAGCGGUGAAAUGCGUAGAGAUCUGGAGGAAUACCGGUGGCGAAGGCGGCCCCCUGGACAAAGACUGACGCUCAGGUGCGAAAGCGUGGGGAGCAAACAGGAUUAGAGACCCCUGUAGUCCCUGUCUCUUAUAC